rnacentral:tRNA from 1 species
GCCCGGGUAGCUCAAAUGGAGAGAGCACCGCCGUCACGCAGCGGGAGAUCCGGGUUCGAGUCCCGGCCCGGGCG